UCUAAGAAAACGUCUCGCGGUUACGGGUGCGUGAGACGUUCGCGAGGCGACUCGUCGCGACGUGGACGGCGUCGCGAAGGCGGGAUUCGCGGCGAGCUUUUCAGAGACGACUUAUUCUAGCGUAAAAAAUACACCGAUCCGCGGAUGCGACCGUGAUCGUAAAAGCGAAAUUUUCCUUUCUUCGCAAAAAUUUCAGAACGGCUACGAGCUGCGGGAAAAUUCAUACACCAAAUUUGGGUCACGCGCAUCCAAAUGGUCCAGAGAAUAGUCUUAUUUUUUUCACUUUUCAAACCGACCGAGACAUUUGGAACCGAAUUUUUUUCUUUACAAGUCAAAUUUGCCGUGCGAGAAUAUCUUGCUAGAUUAAGCUGGCGAAUUUUGACGAUCAUAUUUCUACGUUGGGUGAAUAACAGAAUUUCAAUAAUUCAGAACUAUGUAUAGGAGUGAGACAAAAAAUGAGAAACAUCAAGUUUCAUGUGCCGUAGCUUGUUACGAUUAUUCGCACUGUGCCUACGAAAUUUCAGAAUUGUACACGAGAUUAGAAUCGAAUUACAAUUUUCAAAGCUGAAUCAUGAACAUUGAGUAUAUAUAUGCACAAUGUAUUUCGAGGCAAACGACGUGGAGACUGAUCUUAAAGAUAUUUCGCGAAAAAAUAUUCAGAUUUGCUUCGCAUCUGCACGAGUGUAAACGAGGAAUGAAAACCUGAGUUCAAGUGGUAAUCCUCAUGGAAACGAAGCGGAUUAAAUGGCCAUUCAAUUGUUUCUGAAUCGUUGGUAAUUUAGCUGCUGCCUCGGUACAGUCGACUGCAGGGAUACAACGUGAUGUCCUUCGUUUAUUGGUUGCCUGAAUGGAAUCCAUACCCGGACUCGGUACAUAUCUGCGUUAAUUGCUUUGUUUUUCAUUCAGCUCACGCGCUUCAUCCCCCAUAAUCUUAAUUAACGAUCUGGAAUCUGGCGUACAGAAAUAAUUAAAACCUAUCGGGAUGAAUUUUGAGAACUACUUGUAUUCUUCUCGCGUAUGGUGUCCAUCGUAUCCACUGGAAAUAGGUUCAUCGAGUAGUGUAUAGGCAUACUUCACCCAUAAUUAUAUAGAUUAGGGUAUUAAUAGUAAUUAGUUCUUAAUAAUCGACUAUUAGCUGCUAUUAACUUUCUCCCCAAUACCUUCGAACGGUUGAUUGGAAAUUUAAUACUCGGACGCAUCUAUGAGCCCAUAUCACCUUACCGAUCUACAGAAGCGUGCGUUAUGUGGAGUUAUGCUACUGGAAAAAUUUUACAACCUUUCCUUUGUUGCUUUAGAAAUCCUUUUGUGAAUUGACCGCAUAUUUUUGUAACUUUUCCAAAUUUUCACCGAGCUCAGCUAUGUUUUUUUCCCCCCUGAGAGUCGAAGUUCGAUUAACGGUCCCCUCUUAGAAAAGGGUAUGUAUAAAAUUUUAUUGGUAUUGAAGAAUUCAAGAACACCAAUUUCUUCCUCCGAAGAACGACUCGCAAUUAGUCUUAAUUCGCUCCGUUGCAUUCAAAUUGCGCAUUAUCCACCCCCGAUCAUUGUCUUUCAUCUAAAACUCCAACAAUUGUAGUUUCGGCGUCCGAAACCUAGACUGAUAAUGGUACUGCUCACAUGAACAAAAAAAUAAUUGACAAAUGGAAACAGUCGAGUUUGUUUCUCGCGGAAGAGGUAGAAUCUCUAUCAGACCGAUUAAGUUAGGCGUGGAGUAUUUCUUUUUUUCUCUUCGAGUGAUCGAAAUUUUUGUCCCUUCGCUCCUACCCUCAAGUUCUCGAGUAAAAUCCCAAAUCACAUUUCCCAAAAUCAUCGUCCCACCUGCUCCAAUACGUCUCUUUGGUAAUCGAAGUGGGCCGUUUCCUUCCAUUUCCGAAAAAGGCGAUUCCCAGGCCGAUAGUAAUCUGGAGUACAAGGAGCAAUCCUUCGGGUGAGCGUAUUUAUGGAGAUCUUUUUGUGCCUGUCUCCGUUAACCGUCUGUGAUAUCUGUCCGUUUGCCCGUCCACCACACCACAUCCCUCUAUCGGAUCCUCCGCAUAUAGAAUUCGAAGUAAUAUAUUAACCCGCUCCUUCAAGAACCGUAAAAAAUAUCAACACUGCAGUGGUUGUCCGUUUGAAACAUGGAUUCUUGCGAAUCAGAAAAAACUGUCCAUCCGAUUCGCUGAUUUUCCAAAAGCUAAAUGUCUUUCUUCUUGCCGUCAAGACGUUCAAGUGUAGGUUUUAUUUCCGAUGCAGCCACAAAAGCCGACGUUACAGAAUUUUAUCCACGGUCGCUCAGUGACUCAAUUAUAGUUAUAGAAAAUAGACGCGAUCAAUCUUCUAUGUACGUGAAGUGGCUGCAGAGUACAAUAAAUAGUAUAUAAUCGAAGUAAGAAAAAAUGAACAAAGAAAACCGAAGACUAUUAUAAGAGGAAAUGAAAGAUAAACUCAACAAAUGGUAGGAACGAAAUGAGAACCCCUAAUCCAGAUACGUUGCUUACAUACUAGGACAAUCGUAAUGAAAUCAGAGCAGGGCAGCGCUCCGAUAAAUAGUUCAGGAGGCAUUCCCCAACACGUGACUCAAGUCGGCAUUACACACGUCCCGCCCGCGCCGCUCGUUCCACGGAAUAACGUGUCUAAAUAAUGAAUGAAGGCACAUGCAUGCAACGAUUGUCAAAAGACAGAGUUGGGGGAGGACCGAGCGAAGUUCCUACACACGAUCCUAGGCGGUCGAUCGACGCGGUGUAGGUUUAUGCGGGACACAUUCGUAUGUUUCGGUACCCGUACGACGGACGGGUCCGGUAGAUUUCCUUGGAGAUUAUACGGUUAGAGGUGUCGCGGUAGAAAGGAAAUCACUCGAUGCAACGAUUCCUUCCCCUUUAUAGGAACAAUUUAACCUUACUUUAUGGAGACGUAAAAGGUAAUCUUUUAUUCCCGAUAGAAACACCUCCUGCGAGGUAGAAAAGUAUAUCUUUCGAGGAUUCGGAAUCUCUUGAAAUUCGGGAUUUCGAUUGAUCGCAAGUCUCUCUUUUCUCCAUUUCACGUUCUGACGGUAGCAAAAGCUAUUAAUUUUCUUCGCUCCCGGCGCCCCAUUUUCGAGUUCACCUUUUAAAACACCUGAAUCAUAUCGGCGCGGAUAUCGGCCGUGAAGAAGCCGGAUUAGAGAGAUGAUUCAUAGCGGCCAAAAAAUUGAUGCUAACUUCGGAAUAUUGCAUUUGACGUUCUACCGGAACUACAAAGAAUGUCUGAGAACGCGUGUGUAAGGGAGACCCGACGAUAUGGUCUCUGCCGAAGACAUUACUCUUGCGCUGUAUCAUAGCAAAGAUCCAAUCCCGAGAAUUCGAGAGACGUUCGCCUCAGGAAUAUUGCGCGUUGUCUCAUCCUCCCGCUCUGCCCACGUUUUUUAUACACCCCGACUUUUUCUCUUCCCGAUUCCAGUUUCUCGCAGUCUUAAGAUACAGCCAGUGAGACGACUUUUGGGACGCAGAAGGGGCAGAGGACGGAAGGAGGGAGAUAAACGUUUUCGGUUGCCAAAAUCAGACAACGGAUAGAAGCAAUUCGGGGUGACGUUUCGGAGAUAGCUGUAGGUGGUUGCCGCUGGUUGCCGGGUGAUCGAGCAAUAUAUACAACCUCCUCGUUUCUGCCUUGGGGACUUCUUCCUAUCGCUCUUAUUUAUCUUGAUACUACGUCAAAAAUUGUAGUAUAAAACAGUCCGAAGUACAGUCUAGAUGUAACUCGCCCUCAACACCGGCAAACUCGAGUCAGCGCCGAGGAAUUCGGCAGUUGGUUCAUAAUUUCGAAAUUCCACUUCACUAAUUUUCGUCAUACUUCAGGAGUCAUUUCUCCAGCCUCGCCGUCGAAACUCUGAUUGCCGAGAUACAAGACGAAAUCGGAAUUUCCGGUAUCCCAUAGAGGUAGACGAUUAGCAAUGAAUAGCGAAUUUCUGGCCUCGUGGUAUUCACGGGUUGAAUCACCGUGUUUUUUCGCAGUAUAAAAUGAAAAUUGCGUAGACCAGUAACGCGUGAUAAGAAUUAAUCGGCACAUUAGGAAAGUUUUAUUGAAAUAGCGGGAAUAUUUCAUUGCUUGGCGUAAAAGGGCUAUUAGAUUUCCACCCCAACGUUGUUACGGUGCGCGCAAGGUAAAAGGUAUACCUAUACGCAUAAUAUUCAAUCAUCUCGUAUGCCUCAUCUCGUUGUUUCAAGUAUCCAUUUCUCUGUCCCUUAUACAUAUUUCCGUUUUUAUCUUAUCUCCUAAACUCUUUACACCAGAAUCGUUCUAAUAUUUUUUUCAAGUUGAUGCGGAACCCGCGCGCCCGUUAUUCCGUUUGCACCUAUCGCGCGACAUUUUGCCUCGAAAAUUGAUCUGCCGCGACAUAAUUCACCCGGAUCUGGAUACGAAUAAUAUCGCCCACAUCGCGCUACCCAUAAACUUGCAGCCAAUUUCAUUUUGAUGCAAUUUCCCUUUGCAACAUUCAGCGAAAUUUGCGCACAGCUCCCCUUCGGUACACGGAGCGGAUAUUAAAUUUUUCAAAAAAGUAAAAGCGCUCUCCCCGUCGCGUUUAUUAAUUACUAAUACUUAAACAACCAGCGGCUGUUGACCGUACUUAAGCGAAAUUCAUUUCACUCGGCAUCUUUCUUAUCGUACCGCCCCUCGCACGAUGGCUGACCUAACGCGAGUAUUAAAGUUAAGCCGAAAUGAGGCUGUGUAUUUAUCUCUAGUUUCCCAACGCUGCAUCGUUGCACGGUGCGUUGCGUUACUCUACAUUCGGUAGACAACGGAAACACACACACACACACACACAGGCGCGCGAUACGCGAGACUACGUUACACGUCCGUGUUCCACCGUUCCACGAACGCUUUCCCCUUCUCUUAUUUAUGGUGGUCCCGCGUCUACCCAAUGUGUCCCGGGCUCCGUGAGCCCCUGAAUUCAACCCCCAUGAACGCCAUGUGGAAUCUGCCCUCAGUCCUCUGCCCUCCGUUCUCAAUCCUCCGCCCUGCGCUCUCUGCGCACGGUCCUUUACUACACGAAGAACUUUUUUUUUUCACACGUAUGAAUAUUAGAGAAAUAAAACUGCGAAGAUGGGCGAGCUUCUGGACCAUUUUUCUUUACGAUUUAAGUUCAAAGCUGCAGAUGUACUUUUCUACGUUUCACAAACGAUUUGAUUUUCGUAGAAUAAAUUUGACCGCCUGGAUGCGCGCUGGUUUCUCACCAUAGUUGAUACAAAUUUUCGCAUAAACGGACAGCUCGUAUUUCAUCAGAUGAUUUUUCUACGUCUGCACGAUGAUUGGUUGAAUAUUAUCAGAGGCCAUCAAUUGAAUGAGAUUAGUUUAUUUUGCAAAUAAUCUCUUAUUUUCGAGAUCCGUAGACGAUUCAACGAAAAUGUGACUUUUCAUCCGAUGUGAUGGAACGUGAAUUCUCAGAAUCGGAGUAUGAGCACUCAGAGUGAUUUGAAAUGCCAUACUCGGUUGAAGCAAUUAGAAUCGAUUGACGGAGAGCCGAGUGCAGAGGGGUGCUGAAAAAUUCUACUACAGCAUCCUGCGGUCCAGAACGGUACGUGUCAAUCUCUGGAGUUCGGAGUCAGCUAGAUGUAACCAGUAGCAAGAAGGUUGCGGCGUAUCGAGGCGAAAGCUCGAGGUAAACCAAAAUUUUUUCUUCUCUACAUUCAGCCGCUGCUCUCGGUGGACCAACGCGACGUGCUCCACGUUACGACCGAACGAAAACUCGAAAAUGCGAUGAGGGAUGCGACGUUGGUUAUGAGGAACACGACGAGGUAGAAAAAGUACAGUGACCGAGAGAAGACAAAGAGAGGCUGGAUGAGGGAAAAUAAGAGGGUGAGAAAGUUGGGGUCGGUCGAGCAACGGAACGUAUCAAGGGAGUGAGCAGAGCGGUGGUGGUUGAGGUGGUUGAGAUCGUGAAGGAUGGUCCUCGCUUCUGCUCCAGAGGAUGAAACAGCGCGGUGAAGCCCCUAUAUCUGCGAAAGCUGCCCGCGCUCUCGCUCGCAACGUGAUAAAAUAUUUAUCGAGCUCUACUGCCUCUCUUUAUUUUCUUAUUGUUACUUCCCUAAUCUAUACUAGAUGUUGUCGUAUACUUUUUUCCCCAUCCAUUUUUCGCCCAAUCAUCAAUAAGUCAAGCGUUAUUUAUGCUCCAGGUGAAGUUGGAUUAUGAGUAA